AUGAACAUUGCCCUCCUCUCCCGCUGGCUCUGGCGCAUCUCACAAGGGCAUGGCGGUCUGUGGUUAUACAUCAUCCGGAAUAAAUACUUGCAUGGCCAACCUCUGGCCUUCUGCCAACGGUCGGGUGGGUCGCAGUUCUGGCAGUCGGUCAUCCAACUGCUCCCCGUCCUCCGCAUUGGGACUUCCAUCUCGGUCGGAUCGGGAGCAGCGACCUUGUUCUGGUUUGACCGAUGGGCGGGUGACUCCUUCGCGGCCCGCUUUCCCGACCUCUUCUCCAUCGUUGUCGUCCCUACAAUCUCAGUUCAACAGGCCCUUGUUGACUUAGGGCGCCUCGCGUUCCGGAGGCCAUUUGGGCCUCCGGAAGUGGCCGCCUGGCAUGAGCUUCUUGAUUGUAUUGCUCUCCAUGAGCCGACUGUCGAUGCUGGCCCGGAUGAGGUUCGGUGGCGCCUUGAGCCUUCGGGUCAAUUCUCCACCAAGUUCCUUUACGCGGCUAUCGCCCCAUCCUCCACCCCGCCGCCCCUCCAGACGGUUUGGUCCAUUCGCCUGCCCCUUAAAAUCCGGAUCUUCAUGUGGCAAUGGAUCCGCGGUCGGCUCCCGUCUGGAGUUGAGGUCCGCAAGCGCAAUGGCUCGGGCUCUGGCCUCUGCCCCCUUUGUGAUACCCCCGAAGACUCGAACCACAUAUUCUUCUCCUGCGUGUCUGCUUAG
rnacentral:rRNA from 1 species